rnacentral:lncRNA from 1 species
AUGGUAGGGGCUUUCGCACGAGAAAUGAGCCAUCAGGAGUUCAGUCCCCUGUGCUUUUGUGUCCUCUCUUGUUCAUCCACAGAAGUGGAGAAGAUGGAGAUGUGCUGUGUAGGGAUUUCACACAUUGGCAAGCUGAGAGAUUUUCUUCUGGAACAUAGAAAAGAUUAUAUUAAUGCUUAUAGUCAUGUCAUGUCUGAAUACGGGAGAAUGACGGACACAGAACGAGACCAGAUAGACCAAGACGCUCAGACGUUCAUGAGGACCUGCUCAGAAGCGAUCCAGCAGCUGAGAACACAAGCCCACAAGGAGAUACACUCUCAGCAAGUGAAGGAGCACAGGACUGCCGUUUUGGAUUUCAUUGAAGAUUACUUAAAAAGAGUGUGUAAACUUUACUCAGAACAAAGAGCCAUCCGAGUCAAGCGAGUGGUGGACAAGAAAAGAUUGUCUAAGCUGGAACCAGAACCAAACGCAAAGACAAGAGAAUCCAUGUCUUCUGAGAAAGUUUCACAGAGUCCAUCAAAAGACUCUGAAGAAAAACCUAUCCCUGAAGAAUAUCCAGAAAAGGUUCCAGUCGAAGCACAACCUGAAUUGGGAAGCUGGGGAGAUGGCAAAGGUGAAGAUGAAUUAUCCCCAGAGGAAAUACAAAUGUUUGAACAAGAAAAUCAGCGCCUGAUUGGUGAAAUGAACAGCCUGUUUGAUGAAGUGAGGCAAAUUGAAGGGAAAGUGGUUGAAAUCUCCAGACUCCAAGAGAUCUUCACAGAGAAGGUUUUACAGCAAGAAGCCGAGAUUGACAGUAUUCACCAGUUAGUAGUUGGAGCAACUGAAAAUAUCAAGGAGGGCAAUGAAGACAUAAGAGAGGCCAUCAAGAACAACGCCGGCUUCCGGGUGUGGGUGCUCUUCUUCUUGGUGAUGUGCUCCUUCUCCCUGCUCUUCCUCGAUUGGAAGAACGCCGGUCAGUAGCUCCUCAGGGCAGAGGACCUGUGCUCCCUGUGGUUUCCUGUGUGCCUGAGCAACUGAUGCACAGACUCCCGAGCAGAGGAAAAAACGGCUCACCUUCAUUCACCCUGGAAAACUAGUAAUAAAACCGCAGCCAUUUACUGUCUUACUGGUGGG